rnacentral:misc_RNA from 1 species
GAUGAAGAACGUAGCGAAAUGCGCUAAGUAAUGUGAAUUGCAGAAUUCAGUGAAUCAUCGAAUCUUUGAACGCACAUUGCGCCCCUUGGUAUUCCGAGGGGCAUGCCUGCUCGAGCGUCAUUAUAACCCCUCAAGCUCAGCUUGGUGUUGGGGCCUGCUGCACUGGCAGCCCUUAAAAUCAGUGGCGGCGCCAUCUGGCUCUAAGCGUAGUAAUUCUUCUCGCUAUGGAGUCCUGGUGGAUGCUUGCCAUCAACCCCCAAUUUUUCUAUGGUUGACCUCGGAUCAGGUAGGGAUACCCGCUGAACUUAAGCAUAUCAAUAAGCGAGGA